GACGAACGCUGGCGGCGUGCUUAACACAUGCAAGUCGAACGAAGAGGCGAACGGGUGAGUAAUACGUGGGUAACCUGCCCUCCUUUUUGGGAUAAGCCUUGGAAACGGGGUCUAAUACCGAAAAAAGGGGGAUGGGCACGCGGCCUAUCAGCUUGUUGGUGGGGUGAUAGCCUACCAAGGCGGUGAGGGGUAGCCGGCCUGAGAGGGUGACCGGCAACGAGGAGACGGAGAUACGGCCCAGGGUCCUACGGGAGGCAGCAAUGGGGGAAAUUGCACAAGGGGGGAAAGCCCGAGGCGGCGGCGCGGAGAAGGGGAUGAAGGUGUUCAGGUUGUAAACCUAUUUGGCUAGCGAACGGGUAGUUGGAGAAGAAGCGCCGGCUAACUACGUGCCAGCCGCCGCGGUAAUUC
rnacentral:rRNA from 1 species